rnacentral:rRNA from 1 species
GAUGAACGCUGGCGGCGUGCCUAAUACAUGCGAGUCGAGCGAACAGAUGAGGAGCUUGCUCCUCUGACGUUAGCGGCGGACGGGUGAGUAACACGUGGAUAACCUACCUAUAAGACUGGGAUAACUUCGGGAAACCGGAGCUAAUACCGGAUAAUAUAUUGAACCGCAUGGUUCAAUAGUGAAAGACUGUUUUGCUGUCACUUAUAGAUGGAUCCGCGCCGCAUUAGCUAGUUGGUAAGGUAACGGCUUACCAAGGCAACGAUGCGUAGCCGACCUGAGAGGGUGAUCGGCCACACUGGAACUGAGACACGGUCCAGACUCCUACGGGAGGCAGCAGUAGGGAAUCUUCCGCAAUGGGCGAAAGCCUGACGGAGCAACGCCGCGUGAGUGAUGAAGGUCUUCGGAUCGUAAAACUCUGUUAUUAGGGAAGAACAAAUGUGUAAGUAACUAUGCACGUCUUGACGGUACCUAAUCAGAAAGCCACGGCUAACUACGUG